rnacentral:pre_miRNA from 1 species
AUUUUAGUAUAAGUAUGUCCCAUGAAAUGUUUAGGACAUACUCAUACUAAAA